rnacentral:rRNA from 1 species
ACGAACGCUGGCGGCGUGCCUAACACAUGCAAGUCAACUUGACUGAAGGAGCAAUCUGACAGUAGAGUGGCGCAAGGGUGCGUAACGCGUAAAUAACUUGCCCAAGGUAAGGAAUAACGUCGAGAAAUCGGCGCUAAUACCUCAUAAUGCAGCGGAUCCGCAUGGAUAUGUUGUUAAAGGUUUACCGCCUUGGGAUAGGCUUGCGUCUGAUUAGCUAGUUGGUGUGGUAACGGCACACCAAGGCUACGAUCGGUAACUGGUCUGAGAGGAUGAUCAGUCACACUGGAACUGAGACACGGUCCAGACUCCUACGGGAGGCAGCAGUGAGGAAUAUUGGGCAAUGCUCGAAAGAGUGACCCAGCAACGCCGCGUGGAGGAUGAAGGUAUUCUAUAUCGUAAACUCCUGUGAGAGCAGACGAAAGACAGAUUAUUAAUCUGGAUGACUGUAUGCUCAGAGGAAGCCCCGGCUAACUACGUG